AAAAAGAAUAUUUCUCUCACUCACACACACCUUCACAUGCUCACAUGUUUGUCUUGCCUGAUGCCCCGAUCCCCUUUCUUCUUCCCUUCUUCCAGCCGCUCACUCCAAAAUUGCUGCCAUCGGACGAGCCGUCCCAAUAGUUUGCCCUCUUGAUUUGUUGCCUUGAGCCUGCUCCUCCUCAGCUGUAGGCAUCCCCGCAGCUGAACUCGUUGUCCACAGGCCACAGGGGUGACUGUGUACGGCGGCUUGUCUCCUGGGACGGUAAACAGCGACGGAUGUGUAGCAGGGUCCGAGGAGCAUCUGCGCAAGGGAGGAGGCAAGAUCGUCGAUCUGCACGGUGUCAUUUCCCUGGGCGUCCGUGUGGGUGAUGUGGGCGUGGAUCUCGUCUCUCGCAGCCAGCAUGGAUCCAGCUUCACUAUGAGGAUGCUAGCGACCUUGUCUUCCCCAAGCGCGCAGGCCAUACGCAUCGUCGUUGUUCCCACUCGAGGCAGCCCAACACAUCAUCACCAUCGUCCACAGCGUCAGUAUUCUUCGACCUGCAGAGGAUAUUUGGGCGCUUGCAACUAUUGGAGGAAGAUGUCCAAGCGUCGAUCCCUGGAGGAAGACGAUGUUGAAGGUGAUACAUUGGAGGUAGUUUGAUCUCUUAUUAUGUGCACAUGGUACCUACUGGGGGUGGUGUGAUCGCUUCAUAGAGAAGAUGACAAUCGAGGAGUGUCAACAUAGGAGAUUGGGGCUCUUGCAACUAUUGGAGGAAGAUGAUGUCCAUGCGCCGACCCUUGAGGAAGAUGAUGUUGAAGGUGGGAUCUAACAUAUGCCGCGUGCUGAACUUGAUUUGAUGCUAUCUCACACGGUUGGUUUUCUCGCGCUGCCACCAUUGCUAACCUGAUUGCAAAAGCUCACAAAACAGAACCUUGCCUUCUCAUGAUCUCACCUUGCCCCGAUCGUUCAAGAUAGCAAACGCCGCCAGCCUGGUACAACAAAUCUGUCUAAAGUUAGACUUUGUUCCCAUGGUGUUGUGGCAUCAAAAAUUCAGAUGAUCUAUAUCUUUCUUAACCCCAUAGUUGUGAUCCUUUAAUUGUAGUUACAUGUGUUUCUAGAGGCAUCCUUCCAUUGUGUAUAAUUGGAAUAGUUAUUGUGUUCAUAGUUCUUUUGGCCAAUGGCAGCUAUGUAUAGAGAUUUUCUCAAAAGAAAUAAAAAUCCAUAUGCUAA